GUGACGGUGAGAACAGCGGAGCCUUGAGAUGGAGAGAGCCUGGGUCCCUGGAUCACAAUAUGGAGAAAGUUCAGUCGCUCAGUCGUGUCCGACUCUUUGCGACCCCAUGAAUCGCAGCAUGCCAGGCCUCCCUGUCCAUCACCAACUCCCGGAGUUAAGCCACUGGCCGAUCAAGAAUCCCUGCCUCGGUGUGUUAAAAGAGUCCACCCUCGUGGUAUGCCCAGGUGAUGGAAUGCAGCGCCCAGACAAAGAAUCAGAACCAUGGAUGGAUGGAUAUGGAAACACAGCUCAGACACAUUGUAACGUGGGCAGACACAGAAAUGCAAAGCAGAAGAACAGGUUAUGGGGCUCACUGGUUUCCAGUCUCGAUGAAUGAAGCAAACAGCAUGCUACCAUUCAGGUGGAGAGGGGAUCUGUGUGGUCUUGUUCCGUGAUUGUCAAGUCUGCGCACACUGCCCUCCAAUUCCCUGGUUUCUAGAACAGACAAUGCUGUAACUCAACACGGAAGCUAAGAGCAGAGCUGAAGCGGAAGUGGAUUCCGCCAGCUCCCGCUGGUCUGUCCAGAGCCUGGAGUUGGGACCACCCU